UACGUAGGGUGCAAGCGUUGUCCGGAAUUAUUGGGCGUAAAGAGCUCGUAGGCGGUUUGUUGCGUCGGCUGUGAAAUCCCGAGGCUCAACCUCGGGUCUGCAGUCGAUACGAGCAAACUAGAGUGUUGCAGGGGAGACUGGAAUUCCUGGUGUAGCGGUGAAAUGCGCAGAUAUCAGGAGGAACACCGGUGGCGAAGGCGGGUCUCUGGGCAACAACUGACGCUGAGGAGCGAAAGCGUGGGGAGCGAACAGGAUUAGAUACCCCUGGUAGUCC
rnacentral:rRNA from 1 species